GAUGAAGAACGUAGCGAAAUGCGAUAAGUAGUGUGAAUUGCAGAAUUCAGUGAAUCAUCGAAUCUUUGAACGCGCAUUGCGCCGCAUGGUAUUCCGUGGGGCAUGCCUGUUCGAGCGUCAUUUACCCCCUCAAGCUCCGCUUGGUAUUGGGCGUCUGUCCCGCUUCGCGCGCGGACUCGCCCCAAAGGUAUUGGCAGCGGUCGUGCCAGCUUCUCGCGCAGCACAUUGCGCUUCUCGAGGCACCGGUGGGCCCGCGUCCAUCAAGCUCACCCCCCCAGUUUGACCUCGGAUCAGGUAGGGAUACCCGCUGAACUUAAGCAUAUCAAUAAGCGGAGGA
rnacentral:misc_RNA from 1 species